GGAAAGAAAGUGGCACCGAAGAGUCGCAGAGGAAAUGUUUUGUGUUUGUUUUUUUUGACUAAAAGUUCAACCGCAUUCAUUUCAUUCAGGUGAUCUGAUGCAAUUGUGUUCCUGCGAGGCACUGGGGGUUUACGUACAUAAUUGGCCUUGGUCGCACAGCUGAACCGCAUUGAUACAACUACCACCUACCAAAAACUGACCACCAGUCUUUGUUUUCUGUUUAAUUAACAAAAAUAAAAAUGAGUUCAUAAAAUACA